GGUCGUGUGGCCUAAUGGCUAAGGCGCUAGAUUUCGGUCCUCACUCGCACACCGAGCUCUCUAGAGAUUCUAGGUUCGACUCCUAGCACGAUCG